AGUAAAAGUCGUAACAAGGUUUCCGUAGGUGAACCUGCGGAAGGAUCAUUAUCGAGUUUUGAACGGGUUGUCUGCUGGCUCGCAAGGGCAUGUGCACGCCUGUCUCAUCCACUCUCAACUUCUGUGCACUUUUCAUAGGCCGGCUUGUGGGUGCGUUCGCGCACUUGUAGGUGUCGGGCUUAUGCUUUAUUACAAACGAUUCAGUUUUAGAAUGUCAUACUUUGCUAUAACGCAAUUUAUAUACAACUUUCAGCAACGGAUCUCUUGGCUCUCGCAUCGAUGAAGAACGCAGCGAAAUGCGAUAAGUAAUGUGAAUUGCAGAAUUCAGUGAAUCAUCGAAUCUUUGAACGCACCUUGCGCUCCUUGGUAUUCCGAGGAGCAUGCCUGUUUGAGUCUCAUGGAAUUCUCAACCUUCGGCUACAUUGACGAAGGCUUGGACUUGGAGGUCGUGCCGGCUCUCGUAGUCGGCUCCUCUGAAAUGCAUUAGUGCGAACGUUACCGACCGCUUCAGCGUGAUAAUUAUCUGCGUUGCUGUGGAGGGUAUUCUAGUGUUCACGCUUCUAACCGUCUUCGGACAAAUUUCUGAACUCUGAGCUCAAAUCAGGUAGGACUACCCGCUGAACUUAAGCAUAUCAA
rnacentral:rRNA from 1 species